ACGACCUUACUUGAACAGGAUCUGUUCUAUAGGAUCGUACAUCUGUGUCCUUGAGUUGAAAGGAGACAGGAACAAAAGUCUGGUUGAUGAAGCAGGACCAUGUGAUCAGAGCGUGAUUGACAGCCCUGUGGUUCGUUUGGAUCGCAUGGGCGGUAGAGGAUCGUUCUCGGUCAUGUAAUGGCUGGGAUGGUCACAAGGUUAUCUGACAGACU